rnacentral:rRNA from 1 species
UACAGAGGGUGCUAGCGUUGUUCGGAAUCAUUGGGCGUAAAGGGCGUGUAGGCGGUUUGUUAAGUCAUGUGUGAAAUCCCUCGGCUCAACCGAGGAAAGACGCAUGAAACUGGCAAGCUAGAGUACCGAAGAGGGGGGUGGAAUUCCCGGUGUAGCGGUGAAAUGCGCAGAUAUCAGGAGGAACACCGGUGGCGAAGGCGGGUCUCUGGGCAACAACUGACGCUGAGGAGCGAAAGCGUGGGGAGCGAACAGG